rnacentral:rRNA from 1 species
CAAUAGCGUAUAUUUAAGUUGUUGCAGUUAAAAAGCUCGUAGUUGGAUUUCGGGUGGGACGCAGCGGUCUCGCAUUUCGUUUGUACUGCUGCAGCCCUCCUUCUUGCCGGGGGCGGCCUCUCGGACUUCACUGUCUGGGGGUCAGAAUCGGCGAUGUUACUUUGAGUAAAUUAGAGUGUUCAAAGCAAGCUUACGCUCUGAAUAUAAUAGCAUGGGAUAACACGACAGGACUCUGGCCUAUCGUGUUGGUCUAUAGGACCAGAGUAAUGAUUAAGAGGGACAGUCGGGGGCAUUCGUAUUCCGUUGUCAGAGGUGAAAUUCUUGGAUUUACGGAAGACGAACAUCUGCGAAAGCAUUUGCCAAGGAUGUUUUCAUUGA